rnacentral:pre_miRNA from 1 species
AAUGGCACUAGGAAAACUCACGGUGGAUUUAGUAAAGUUUAAAAUAUCCGUAGAUUUUCUAGUGUUAUAA